rnacentral:rRNA from 1 species
CAUGCAGUCGAACGAUGAAGCCCAGCUUGCUGGGUGGAUUAGUGGCGAACGGGUGAGUAACACGUGAGCAACCUGCCCCUGACUCUGGGAUAAGCGCUGGAAACGGCGUCUAAUACUGGAUACGAGUAGCGAUCGCAUGGUCAGUUACUGGAAAGAUUUUUUGGUUGGGGAUGGGCUCGCGGCCUAUCAGCUUGUUGGUGAGGUAAUGGCUCACCAAGGCGUCGACGGGUAGCCGGCCUGAGAGGGUGACCGGCCACACUGGGACUGAGACACGGCCCAGACUCCUACGGGAGGCAGCAGUGGGGAAUAUUGCACAAUGGGCGGAAGCCUGAUGCAGCAACGCCGCGUGAGGGAUGACGGCCUUCGGGUUGUAAACCUCUUUUAGCAGGGAAGAAGCGAAAGUGACGGUACCUGCAGAAAAAGCGCCGGCUAACUACGUGCCAGCAGCCGCGGUAAUACGUAGGGCGCAAGCGUUAUCCGGAAUUAUUGGGCGUAAAGAGCUCGUAGGCGGUUUGUCGCGUCUGCUGUGAAAUCCCGAGGCUCAACCUCGGGCCUGCAGUGGGUACGGGCAGACUAGAGUGCGGUAGGGGAGAUUGGAAUUCCUGGUGUAGCGGUGGAAUGCGCAGAUAUCAGGAGGAACACCGAUGGCGAAGGCAGAUCUCUGGGCCGUAACUGACGCUGAGGAGCGAAAGGGUGGGGAGCAAACAGGCUUAGAUACCCUGGUAGUCCACCCCGUAAACGUUGGGAACUAGUUGUGGGGUCCAUUCCACGGAUUCCGUGACGCAGCUAACGCAUUAAGUUCCCCGCCUGGGGAGUACGGCCGCAAGGCUAAAACUCAAAGGAAUUGACGGGGACCCGCACAAGCGGCGGAGCAUGCGGAUUAAUUCGAUGCAACGCGAAGAACCUUACCAAGGCUUGACAUAUACGAGAACGGGCCAGAAAUGGUCAACUCUUUGGACACUCGUAAACAGGUGGUGCAUGGUUGUCGUCAGCUCGUGUCGUGAGAUGUUGGGUUAAGUCCCGCAACGAGCGCAACCCUCGUUCUAUGUUGCCAGCACGUAAUGGUGGGAACUCAUGGGAUACUGCCGGGGUCACUCGGAGGAAGGUGGGGAUGACGUCAAUCAUCAUGCCCCUUAUGUCUGGGCUUCMGCAUGCUACAUGGCCGGUACAUGGGCNGCAUACCGUGAGUGGACSAAUCCAAAAGCCGUCCA